UACAGAGGGGGCAAGCGUUGUUCGGAAUUACUGGGCGUAAAGGGCGCGUAGGCGGCCUGUUAAGUCGGACGUGAAAUCCCUCGGCUCAACCGGGGAACUGCGUCCGAUACUGGCGGGCUUGAAUUCGGGAGAGGGAUGUGGAAUUCCAGGUGUAGCGGUGAAAUGCGUAGAUAUCUGGAGGAACGCCGGUGGCGAAGGCGGCAUCCUGGACCGACAUUGACGCUGAGGCGCGAAAGCCAGGGGAGCAAACGGG
rnacentral:rRNA from 1 species